rnacentral:rRNA from 1 species
UACGAAGGGGGCGAGCGUUGUUCGGAAUUACUGGGCGUAAAGGGCUCGUAGGCGGCCAACUAAGUCAGACGUGAAAUCCCUCAGCUUAACUGGGGAACUGCGUCUGAUACUGGAUGGCUUGGAUUUGGGAGAGGGACGCGGAAUUCCAGGUGUAGCGGUGAAAUGCGUAGAUAUCUGGAGGGACACCGGUGGCGAAGGCGGCAUUCUGGACCGAAACUGACGCUGAGGCGCGAAAGCCAGGGGAGCAAACGGG